UGACAAAAAAGAACUAAUGAAAAUAAUAUAGGCCUAGGAGACUGUCAGACGUGCUCGAGUUUGAACAUCAGCAGGGGAGUGUCUGUACAAGAAAACUGCCUUUAAUUUGCUUUCAAAUUUUCAUAUAAAAGUUUUAAGAUAUUAUUUUAUAAUUAUCACCCAUACUAGUAUAUAAUAAAAAUCUGUAAAGGAACAUCUGCAUACUUACAUUAUUCCUGCAGGCAGCCAUGACGAUAACAUCAGAUAGAUCUAGAGUUACUCUGAUGGAUUUGUAAACUUCUAAUUAAUUCAUAUUUUUUUAAAGACACGCCAAUUUUAAAAUCAUAUUUUUAUAUACUUUGUUCAUCUCUAAAAUAACCACUUAAUUACUUAUUCAUAACACCCAUUUUAGUCCAUCGGCCCGAUAUCUGUACUGUGUAUUCGCGCCAACCGAUAUCAAUUUGAUAUUGGCCCAACAUUGAUACAAUGCCCAUGUACCAACGUUGGUCCAAUAUUGGAACGAUGCCAAUGCACCAACAGUGAUAAAUACAAUGUUGGUCCAACGUUGUUCUACCAACAGCGAUAUGUAGCCAACCUUACAACCAUAAGCCAACGUUGGGCAACGAAAGCUUGCUAUUUGGGGACGCUCUGCACCCUCCCUUUAAAUAGUACAACCUGAAGAUUUAUUAAAUCUGGACAUUUCAUAAUAUAGUGAUAUUCGUUGCCAUUUUUACAUAGCUAGAUUACAAAAUUGUUGAUUUCUAGGUACAUCUGCCUGUCUCAAUUGGUAGUUUAUAAUUGUUUGUUCUUAAUCUAAGUAAGGUAGUAAAGUUAUUCAUAUAAGCACCAGAGUUUUUGAAAUUUCUAAGUACAAAAAUAAUAUUGGUAAACAAAUUAUAGAUCAAUCCUUUACCAUAGUCUGUCCCAAGUUAUUGCUUCCAUCAAUUGUUGAUGAUUUUCAAUAAAAAUACACAUACCUGUGAAAGAAAUACAAUUGAAAUCGAUGAAAGGGCAUAUAUCCAAGAUAUCUUCAUUGAACAAUUAUCCCUUUUCACUCAUAAAAUUUCACAGGAACGAAAAUAAGUUUCUUACGGAGAUUUGUAAUGGGAAAUAUUUACAUCUUUUCUCCAUUCGGAAUACACUCGGAAAACAUCGCGCAAUUUUUUAACAUUAUCAUCCGGGCUUAAUAAUGGCUGAUGCAAUGCAAAAUCUCCGUAGACUUUCAAUUUUUGGAUGUGUAUUGAAACCUGAAGCGGUAGAGGGGGCGUUUUAAAACAGACAAUCUGGAAAUUUUUCAUAUUAGUGGAUGAACGUAGUUUGAGCACAAAGGUAUUUACUAUUAUUGAAAUGUCAAGCAAAAAGUGGUGGAAGCAAAAACUCGGGACAGAGUAUAGAUGCGUUACAAUCUGAGACCCAUUUUUGUUGAAAUUGGUCAAUUAAAGUUUGCUUAACAACAUUUAAAAUCCAGUUUUCAUUUUCUACAUUUUGCAUCAACCAGACAUAGCUUUGACCACAUUCAUGUAAAAUAUUCUGUAUACAUUCAACCCAUUUGAAAUUAUAAUUGUUGUGUUGUGUUAGGCUAUGUAAAAAAUUAUACAAUACAUAUGACAAUUUUGAUUUUUUACCUUUCAAGACUCUUAUCCAAAAACUCAACAUUCUAAUUUUUACUUUCACAUACGAUGCGUAUCUAGCAAGUUCACCGUAGAUCAUAAAAUUUGGUGUGGACGUCUUAAGACUAAGAACAAAUUUACAAAAUUUAAGAUGCAAUUUUUCAAUGAUACAUAAAUAUUCAAAACCCCACAAUUCAGAACCAUACAGUAAAAUUGGAACAAUCAUUUUAUCGAACAUACCAAGUUAACAAUCAAUCGAUAGAUUUAAUUCUCUUGACUUUUUAAUUAUUGCAUACAUAGCUCUGGUAGCUCUCGUCACUACAUAUUUCCUAGUACUGUAGGAAGAGCCUGUUCUUGAAAAUUUAACUCCUAAAUAUUUAACUUCCUUGACGAUUUCUAUUUCGUUACCAUUGUAUUGAAAUGAUACAUUUGAAGUUUGUCUACUUUAACCAAAAAUUAUAAUUUUAGUUUGAUCAACAUUCACUUGUAAUUUUCAAGCCAGUUCAAUAAUAAUUACCCAACAAUGCACGUGUUCUCUUUCAAUUAUUGAUUUAUGGUAAAAGAAUUACCGUGAUAAUAAUAAAAAUGGUAGUAUAUAUAAGGACUGCCUUGGUUUUAAUUUAAGUGGUCGAUGUGUCAACCAAGCGUGUUUAAGAUUUAUUUUUUAUCUGUAGCUCCAAAUAAAUGUACAUAUUGCAUAAAAAAAACAUUUUUUUUUCACAAAGUACAUUAUAAAUUUACUCUAUUAAAUAAUGGAAAACCCCGUGUUUAUUUUUAGAUAUGGGUUCUUUCAUUUAUAUUUAGAUCAUAAAGAAACCUAAGGUUAUUUCAAUUCUGAGUCUCGGACAAUAAUUAUCAUGAACAUGGGGUUUAAUACCAUCGUAUAUACUGGUACCACUCACCGAAGGGAGGAGUUAGAAAAGCGCUACGAUCAUUUGAUGUGCAAAACCUGUAUAAUACACUAUGUAACCUCAGUAUUUACUCCUUGUGGACACUUCGUCUGCUGCUCAGAGUGUGCACCUAACCACAUUGAAUGUCCGGUGUGUCGGAAAAAAAUAGAGAAAAUCAUUCAAGCGAACUUGAAAUAACAUUCUUGCGAUAUAAGCGCAAUUUUGGAAACUGUUACUUUUCAAUAAAUUGCUAACAUUAUAGUUGAUAUUUGUAAUCAAUAUUGUAUGCCAUAAUACUAUGAGUGUUUUUGUUCUCUUUUUGUGUAAUUAUUGUUUUUAUUAGCUAAAAUGAAAAAUAUUGGGUUCUUUAUCUAUAACGCUUCUGACUAAGAUUUUUGAUAUUCAAUGAAUAGUUAUAAGUUAUUUGUACAUGUGAGUAUGUAGAUGAAAGGGAAAAAAUGGAAGUGCAUCAAUUAUGAAUAAUGUAUAAAAGAGUCAGUAUCAUACUUGGAUUACAGUAAAUGCUUUCUUUUCUAUAUUUCAAGGAAUAUAAAUCUUUGUACAUUAAGCAAAAUAUGCAAUAAACAAUUCCUUUUAA